rnacentral:rRNA from 1 species
GACGAACGCUGGCGGCGUGCUUAACACAUGCAAGUCGAACGAUGAAGCCUUUCGGGGUGGAUUAGUGGCGAACGGGUGAGUAACACGUGGGUAAUCUGCCUUGCACUCUGGGAUAAGCCUGGGAAACUGGGUCUAAUACCGGAUAUGACUACUUCACGCAUGUGGGGUGGUGGAAAGUUCUGGCGGUGUGAGAUGAACCCGCGGCCUAUCAGCUUGUUGGUGGGGUGAUGGCCUACCAAGGCGACGACGGGUAGCCGGCCUGAGAGGGCGACCGGUCACACUGGGACUGAGACACGGCCCAGACUCCUACGGGAGGCAGCAGUGGGGAAUAUUGCACAAUGGGCGAAAGCCUGAUGCAGCGACGCCGCGUGAGGGAUGACGGCCUCGGUUGUAA